CGCACAUUGCGCCCUUUGGUAUCCCGAAGGGCAUGCCUGUUCGAGCGUCAUUAUCAACCCUCAAGCCCGGCUUGACAUUGGGCUCGGAUCGUCGAAGAUCGGCCCCAAAGAUAACGGCGGUGUUGUGGCCGAGGCGAAAAGAUGCAACGAGUUCGCACUUUUGGUCGAGGCGCAGCCCCCGCUCAACGAUGUUACAUCACUCCGACGAUGGACCUCGGAUCAGACAGGAUUACCCGCUGAACUUAA
rnacentral:misc_RNA from 1 species